GGAGGCCACUGCUAUUGGGAUCCGACUAAGCCAUGCGAGUCGAGAGGGUUCGGCCCUCGGCAGACUGCUCAGUAACACGUGGAUAAUCUACCCUUAGGUGGAGGAUACUCUCGGGAAACUGAGAAUAAUACUCCAUAUAUCCAGGAUGCUGGAAUGCACCUAGAUUGAAAGUUCCGGCGCCUAAGGAUGAGUCUGCGGACUAUCAGGUAGUAGUCAGGGUAAAGACCUGACUAGCCUACGACGGAUACGGGUUGUGAGAGCAAUAGCCCGGAGACGAUAUCUGAGACACGAUAUCGGGCCCUACGGGGCGCAGCAGGCGCGAAAUCUUCACAAUGUGCGAAAGCACGAUGAGGGGAUCCCAAGUGUUGGUUCGUAAGAAUCAUCUGUUUCUUUGUCUAAAAAACAGAGAGAGUAAGAGCUGGGUAAGACGGGUGCCAGCCGCCGCGGUAAUACCUGCAGCUCAAGUGGUGGCCGCUAUUAUUGGGCCUAAAACGUCCGUAGCCGGUUUAGUAAAUGCUUGGGUAAAUUGUGUAG
rnacentral:rRNA from 1 species